CCUACGGGAGGCAGCAGUGGGGAAUAUUGCACAAUGGGCGAAAGCCUGAUGCAGCAACGCCCGUGAAGGAAGAAGGGUUUCGGCUCGUAAACUUCUAUCAACAGGGACGAAAGAAAUGACGGUACCCGAAGAAGAAGCCCCGGCUAACUACGUGCCAGCAGCCGCGGUAAUACGUAGGGGGCAAGCGUUAUCCGGAAUUACUGGGUGUAAAGGGUGAGUAGGCGGCAUGGUAAGCGAGAUGUGAAAGCCUUGGGCUUAAUCCGAGGAUUGCAUUUGGAAUUAGCAAGCUAGAGUGCAGGAGAGGAAAGCGGAAGUCCUGGUGUAGCGGUGAAAUGCGUAGAUAUUAGGAAGAACACCAGUGGCGAAGGCGGCUUUCUGGACUGAAACUGACGCUGAGGCACGAAAGCGUGGGGAGCGAACGGGAUUAGAUACCCCAGUAGUC
rnacentral:rRNA from 1 species